AAUGCCACGUGGAGGUAGAAGACCCACGAGUCAUGAACUUAUUUUACCAGAGAAGAAGCAAUGACAGUAUCUGGGUAAUAAGCAUCAGCUAAUCUUGUGCCAGCAGUCGCGGUAAUAUAGAGGAUGCAAGCGUUAUCCGGAAUGACUGGGCGCAAAGCAUAUGUAGGUGGAUUUUUUUAGUACGACAUCAAAUCCCAGGGCUCAACCAUGGACAGGCGGUGGAAACUACAAAGCUGGUGUACGGUAGGGGCAGAGGGAAUUCUGGGUGGAGUAGUGAAAUGCGUAGAGAUCGAAAAGAACACAAAUGACGAAAGCACUCUGCUGGGCCAACACUGAAAAUGAGAGACAAAAAUUAGGAGAGCUAAUGGAAUCAGAUAUCCAAGUAGUCCUAGCUGUAAACAAUGGAUACUAUGCAUUGUGCGUCUCGACCCAUUCAGUUGUAGCUUACACGUUAAGCAUCCCGCCU
rnacentral:rRNA from 1 species